UACGUAGGGGGCAAGCGUUGUCCGGAAUCAUUGGGCGUAAAGAGCGUGUAGGCGGCUCGGUAAGUCCGCUGUAAAAGUCCAGGGCUCAACCCUGGAAAGCCGGUGGAAACUGUCGAGCUAGAGUCCGGAAGAGGCGAGUGGAAUUCCUGGUGUAGCGGUGAAAUGCGCAGAUAUCAGGAGGAACACCAAUGGCGAAGGCAGCUCGCUGGGACGGUACUGACGCUGAGACGCGAAAGCGUGGGGAGGAAACAGG
rnacentral:rRNA from 1 species